UACGUAGGGUGCAAGCGUUAAUCGGAAUUACUGGGCGUAAAGCGUGCGCAGGCGGUUUUGUAAGUCUGUCGUGAAAUCCCCGGGCUUAACCUGGGAAUUGCGAUGGAGACUGCAAGGCUAGAAUCUGGCAGAGGGGGGUAGAAUUCCACGUGUAGCAGUGAGAUGCGUAGAGAUGUGGAGGAACACCGAUGGCGAAGGCAGCCCCCUGGGUCAAGAUUGACGCUCAUGCACGAAAGCGUGGGGAGCAAACAGG
rnacentral:rRNA from 1 species